UCUAUCUCUCUAACCUAUGCUCUCUAACCUCUCAUCUCACUAGAACCUUCUGGUUCUCUCCAUCUUCUCCCAUGACGACCAUCGCCUCUCCGGCUUACUCCUCCCUCACCUCUCUCGAUCUCCAGCAACUAUGGAGUCCCGGUAUCACCAUCUUCUCUCCAAAGCUUGAAAACCCGGAAGCCUCCACCAUGAAGAUGGUUACUGGAGCCUCGUCGAGGUUCGAUUCCAGCCUUUCUCCAAUGAAUUUUGGUUCGAUGAUGCUAAAAACGUCAUCAUCUUUGAGCUUCACAACCACGUUUCUCUUACCCCCCCUCUCACUGGUUUCCUAUGAAACCUUAAUCUUAACUCAAAAAUCUCAGAUCUAUGAUUUUUAACAAUUUUUGACUCGUAUUUUCAUGUUUUACACUAUUUCUUCACUCAAUCUUUACGAUUAUUCUAGUUUUAAACGAUUAUGUUCUUUUUCAAAACUAGGGUUUUCCGACCCUUUUCAAAGUCACUAUAUCUCCUACUUUUCUUGAGUAUUAGGUGGUGGUUUGUGUUUAUUUGUGUUGCGAGCAUUUAGUUUCCUUGUUAAUGUUGUGUUCCAUACUCAAACUUUCUGGCUAGUGUUUCUUACCCUUUUAAAAAUCGUAUAUCUUCUGCUUUUCGUGAAUAUUAUGUGUUCGUUUGUGCUUGUUGUGUUACGAGUUUGUUUGGUAUCCUUGGAAAUUUUAUUUCCUUGCUUUAGUUUCUUGCCCGGGUUCUGAACCUUUGUUUCUU
rnacentral:lncRNA from 1 species